AACAGGAUUAGAUACCCUGGUAGUCCAUGCCGUAAACGAUGAGUGCUAGGUGUUGGAGGGUUUCCGCCCUUCAGUGCCGGAGCUAACGCAUUAAGCACUCCGCCUGGGGAGUACGACCGCAAGGUUGAAACUCAAAGGAAUUGACGGGGGCCCGCACAAGCGGUGGAGCAUGUGGUUUAAUUCGAAGCUACGCGAAGAACCUUACCAGGUCUUGACAUCUUGCGCCAACCCUAGAGAUAGGGCGUUUCCUUCGGGAACGCAAUGACAGGUGGUGCAUGGUCGUCGUCAGCUCGUGUCGUGAGAUGUUGGGUUAAGUCCCGCAACGAGCGCAACCCUUGUUACUAGUUGCCAGCAUUAAGUUGGGCACUCUAGUGAGACUGCCGGUGACAAACCGGAGGAAGGUGGGGACGACGUCAGAUCAUCAUGCCCCUUAUGACCUGGGCUACACACGUGCUACAAUGGACGGUACAACGAGUCGCGAACUCGCGAGGGCAAGCAAAUCUCUUAAAACCGUUCUCAGUUCGGACUGCAGGCUGCAACUCGCCUGCACGAAGUCGGAAUCGCUAGUAAUCGCGGAUCAGCAUGCCGCGGUGAAUACGUUCCCGGGCCUCGUACACACCGCCCGUCACACCAUGAGAGUUUGUAACACCCAAAGUCGGUGGGGUAACCUUUUAGGAGCCAGCCGCCUAAGGUGGGACAGAUGAUUAGGGUGAAGUCGUAACAAGGUAACC
rnacentral:rRNA from 1 species